rnacentral:rRNA from 1 species
UGGGGAAUAUUGCACAAUGGGCGCAAGCCUGAUGCAGCAACGCCGCGUGAGGGACGACGGCCUUCGGGUUGUAAACCUCUUUUAGUAGGGAAGAAGCGAAAANUGACGGUACCUGCAGAAAAAAGCACCGGCUAACUACGUGCCAGCAGCCGCGGUAAUACGUAGGGUGCGAGCGUUGUCCGGAAUUAUUGGGCGUAAAGAGCUCGUAGGCGGUCUGUCGCGUCUGCUGUGAAAAACCCGAGGCUCAAACCUCGGGGCCUGCAGUGGGUACGGGCAGACNUGAAGUGCUGCUGNGGGAAGGGAAAUGGAAUUCCUGGUGUAGCGGUGGAAUGCGCAGAUAUCAGGAGGAACACCGAUGGCGAAGGCAGUUCUCUGGGCCGUAAACUGACGCUGAGGAGCGAAAAGCGUGGGGAGCG